GAAAGAAAAAGUAAAGGACUAAAUUGUAAGGUUUAGUCACAUUUUGUAUCAAGUACUUAUCUAGUCACUCGGGGAUCGAAGGAAAUGUCGGAGGCCGAUCACACUAUCAAAGAAAUAACUCGGUAUAACUAGACGUUUUGUUUUAGGUAUGGCAUGUAUAGAAACUUAGCUACUUUUGGUAUAAUAUGAAUAAUGAAUGAUGUGUAAAUACUUGCUAGUGAUUAGCUAAGAAAAUAGCUGAUGA